GUGUGAGGCCGACAACUUCCUGUUGGUCGUGUUAUUGUUGUGGGGAGUUUUGUUGAGUUGCUAGUUUUGAGUAAAUAUGAGCGGAUUUCGGGUAAAAGAGAGGCGUUUGGUGUUUCAACGCGUGACAGAGACAUCACAACAUUGUUGUGUACCCCUGUGUGCGAAUUCGUCAAAGUACAACAGUAUUAUAAGCUUUCAUAGCUUUCCAGUAGAUGUGUCGGUGAGAGUCCAAUGGAUGGCAUUGGUAACGGCGGGAGGACUUCACCCCAAGCAAGACGAGUCGUGUUUGCAGCAGGCAUUUCCAAAUGGGUGAUUUUGUUAACAACACCGGGAAAUCGAGAAAGUUGAAGAAAGGGGCCAUCCUGAUCCUACUCUUUUUUUUUUUCCUGGAAUGAUUUUCAAAUACCGGCACCGAGGGCGAGCGUGUGGGAGCGGAGACCCAGACCAGAUAGCCCCCCUCCUCCUGUCCAUGACAUCGACUCAGAAGAAGAGAUGCAACUGGACACCCUGGCACCAGAUUAUGAUUAUUGUAUUACUGCUACAAUAGCAAUGGUCGCAGAUCGGUUAGCUGAGGAAAACGAUACACUUCCCCAGAAAGUUAAGGAGCUGGAACUACACAUUGAUGCUCUCCAGCUGCGGAGUUGUUUUGGACUGAAGCGGUUUGCAGGAUCGGACGAGGACAUCCGAUUUUAUACCAGAUUCCAUUCUUAUGACCACCUGAUGGCAUUCUGGAGGCUCAUCGAACCAGCAACAUCAAGGAUGAUCCGUGUGACAAGUGUGGCUAGAGAAGCAUCAGCCUCUGUGGCAGAGAAGACAACAGCAAACAGAUCAACUAAGUUGCUGCCCAUAGAUGAGUUAUUUCUUUUCCUCAAUUAUCUAUCAACUGGAUGCAGACAGAGAGAGCUUGGGCACCGAUUUAAUAUCCAUCGGACAACAGACAGCUCUCCUGUCCCCUGACAUGGCUGUGAUGGUGGACAAGGGCUUUAGGGUGGAAAACCUUGUGCCAGGAAAACUUCACAGGCCUGCCUUCCGCUCCAACAACAAUCAAAUGGCAGCACAGGACGUCCUGGAGACCCAAUCAAUUGUGCGGCUGCGAGUUCAUGUUGAAAGGCUAAUCAGGCGGGUUAAGGAGAACAAACUUUUUGACACUGUAAUCUCUUUGUCUAUUUCAGGGAGCAUUAGCCAGCUUUUCACUGCAGCUUCCAACUACCAAAAUGGACUUCUGGUCAAUGACUGGAGAGAACAUUAGAGCCAGGAAUUACUGAAGCGUGACAUCCAUCAAAGGCUGCAUCAUUCGACUGUCAAGCACCUUGGAGAGGCAACCUGUUCAUGUGGAAGGGCUGCACAUUCAGCAACAGUCUGCUGUCCCAGUGCUGCGGAAUUAACUCCAUACCAGUUUGCCUGCAGCACAAAAACUGCACACACACCACAACACAUUGAUAGGUUCGGGGAGGGGCGGCAGGUCUUCACCCACCUGGUCCUCUCCGCCUGGUGUGUGGGGAUCCUGUUAGUCGAAGCGGUGGCCGGGCAUGCAGUGCUGGGGGGUUGGUGGGCUGGAGGGGGGCGGUGGGCAACCAGAAGAAUGUGUUUGAGUGUGGGGACAGGCCAGGGGGCUAGCUCGCCAGUACCCACUGGGGCUCACCCUCCCUUUUGUAGAGGGGCAGCAGGGGUGUGUGGCAAUUCUACUCUGAAUUACUC